rnacentral:rRNA from 1 species
GAUGAACGCUGGCGGCGUGCCUAAUACAUGCAAGUCGAGCGAACGGACGAGAAGCUUGCUUCUCUGAUGUUAGCGGCGGACGGGUGAGUAACACGUGGAUAACCUACCUAUAAGACUGGUAUAACUUCGGGAAACCGUAGCUAAUACCGGAUAAUCUUUUGAACCGCAUGUUUCAAAAGUGAAAGACGGUCUUGCUGUCACUUAUAGAUGGAUCCGCGCUGCAUUAGCUAGUUGGUAAGGUAACGGCUUACCAAGGCAACGAUGCAUAGCCGACCUGAGAGGGGGAUCGGCCACACUGGAACUGAGACACGGGCCAGACUCCCACGGGAGGCAGCAGGAGGGAAUCUUCCGCAAUGGGCGAAAGCAUGACGGAGCAACGACGCGUGAGUGAUGAAGGUCUUCGGAUCGUAAAACUCUGUUAUUAGGGAAGAACAUAUGUGUAAGUAACUGUGCACAGCGUGACGGUACCUAAUCAGAAAGCCACGGCUAACUACGU